rnacentral:lncRNA from 12 species
AUGAAGAGGCUACACAGCAGGCCUCAGAUGGAGGCGGUUCACUUAUCCUCAGUCGUUUCUUAUGAUGACUCAAAUGCCGUGAAACAGCGAAGCGAUCACCUCAACAAAGACAGGGACGGUGCCCGAGCCGCUAGUCGACUUGCCCAGGUGGCUCACAGGUUCUGUGCCAGAGAAAGAAGCCUCUGUUCACCCCACUGUAAAAGAGAAAUGACUAAAACUGCCUUCCACCUAAUGCACAGUAAAGCUGAGAAAUUCUGUGACUUAAUUAAAAGCUGCAGACUAUCUUCGUAUCUACAGAUGAAUGGCAUUUAAAUAGAAACCCGUGUUCAGCUACAUCAUCACCUCCAUAGAAAUCAUUUGUUAAAUGCGAAGAGGCUUUGCUUUAUCUCUAAUUGAAGACAGAAGAAAUGCCGUGAGUGUAUCUCUUAAGAUGAUAGGGAAAGGGAGUAGGGGAGGGCACUUCAUGAAAUCCUUUCUUUGAAGCUCAGGAUGGUGCUAAAUAGAUCUUUCUUCCUUUCUGCUUUCUUCCCCUCAGUGUAUUUAUGCAUCACCACACAUUGCCCCCUCUCUCCAGAGCUUGGGGCAUCACACACCAGGAGCCUUGGCUCCCAGAUGCUCAAUGGAAUGUCAAAGCCUUGAGUAGUGAGCCUUUAAGAGGGAGAACGAAAGAGUAAGGGGCUUUCCUCAGUCUCAAGUGAGUCAGGAGCAGGGUUGAGAGUGAAGGAAGUGCAGACCUCAGGUAGGUGAGGUGCCUUCUGACCUAGGCCUGGGGGAAGCAAGGGCCUCCCAUUUCCUGACCACCUGCUCUAUGUUGGGCUCUAGGUGUUUUAGAGAUCCCUG